rnacentral:lncRNA from 1 species
CACGGAUUACAGCAAGCGCUUCAAAGCGCCGCCGCGUCGUCUCCACUCCUCGGGCCUAGGGCACGCGCCGACUCGCCGCCGGGGAGACCGGGCGGCCGGCGAAUCCCCCACCCCAAAACGGAGGCGAAAUUUAGCACGGGCUGUGCGCGGUCGAGCGUCCCCGGAGGCCCGGACUCGUCGGCGUGGACGCCGCGCGCGGCGCGGCAGCACUGGUGGUACACUGGGUCAACAUACCCUGGUGUGCCCUGUGGAACAGUUGAUACAUGGGUGACUUCAAGCGGGAACAGGCGCGAUAGUCCAAAUUCCAAAACCACCAUCACCAAGUUCCCUGGAGGCACUAAAUCCAGCAGUAGCCUCUUCAAGUUCCUCGUAAGGUGCAUCCCGUCGGGGCAAUUGCAGGCGAACUCCAGGUCGUCGCUGUACGUGCAAUUUCCGCCGCUUACUUGACAUUUGGGACAAUCCCCUGAAACCACCGCCCACUCUAGUAGAAACCCACUCCUCAUGCUGGCAAUAUAGCCGGCCAUACUCCCAUUGUGACGCUGAACGAUCGGCACAACUGUGAAGUUACAGCCCGGUGGAAUCCCAUCCUCGUGUAAAUGGUGGUCGCUGACGAGCCGGACGGAGGAGUUUUGGUCAUCACAAGGCAGUCUGUGGAAGCCGGGAGGAGCAGCCGCCGCCGGAAGUGACUUGUUACACGAGAGGAAGCGCAGCUCUGCGUUGGCUUCGCUGAUGACGAACGGCGCCUGCCAGAUGCCAUCGGAGAUGUUGAACGGCGGCGCCGGGCAGCCGGUGGCGAGCGGGAGAUUCUCGUCCACCACAUGGACGGUGUUGUUUCCGGUGAAGAUAUCAACAACGCGAUACGCCUCGUAGAUGGUGUGCGUGAGGUAGGCGCCGCUGGCGUUGCACUUGAGCUGGAACGGCGGCGACCCGCACGGCGGCCGGCCGGGCUCCUCCAGCCAGAACGGGUAGGAGAUGGUCAGGUUGCCGCAUGGCGUGGGCAAGCAGCCAGGACUAGACGAGUUCGACGAGCUCGCCGGUGCCGGCAACUUGAGGAAGCAAGCUACCAGCAGUAGCAGUAUGAGCGGAGGCAUAUCUGGUGUACUUGGGCACGCAUAUCAACUACGGAAUGCAGUGGUGAAAUGGAUUAUAUGAGAGAAGAAGGGGACGAGAGAUAGAGGGAUGGGAUAUGAGGCGUGGGGCAAAAGGACGGUGGCGAAGCGGUUUUGACCGGUCAAAGUCGAUGGAUUAGCGAUGACGACUGCCUUAUCAACCAAUAAACAAGUCACUGAUUGAUUAACGGAUUCGAUAAAGUUGACACCAUAAAUUUUACGCAUUUCCUCCUCCGGAAAGUGAUGAUUAAAUGGAUAAUUUCGCGAACGAACUUACCAGAUGACGGCGGCCCUUGCCAUGUCAAGAGGAAGCCGUCGCGGAUGAGCUGCUCAUAGCUCCCCGCGUCCGUGCCCAUCACCGGCACGACGGUAGCGUUGCAGCCUUCCAUGUAAAACGCCGCGUAAUCGCCCGAAACACUGUAAUUCCCUCCUACGCGAGCAAACGUCUUGUUGCCGCACCUCGUCUCCACGAGGUCGUCGUCUCCGUCCCGCGGCACAAGCGUCUUAUUGCAAUUGUACAGGAAGAGGUUGAGAUUGGUGGUGCUGAUGGAGAACGGGAGGGCGACCUUGGAGGAGGUGUUGCUCGUCGGAACAUGGCAGGGGUAUUCUUUGCUGACGCCGGAGAAGACAUCGAAGUCACCGAGCUUGUGGAUGUCAGAGACGAGCAAUGAAUUGUUGCCGUAGAAGAUGUCGAGGACCUGGAUCCGAUAACCGAGCUUGUAGUAGCCGAGGUAUGGAGUGUCGUUGCGGCAGAUAACCUGGAAUCCAAGCCAGCCGCAUUUGCUCUCCGUUGCCUGCUCCGGCACGACGGCGAACGGCGACGAGAUGGUCACCUUGCCACAUACAGUACUGGCCGCGCAGCCUUCUUGUGGACGAUUGUCUGCCGCCGUAUUCGCUGCUUGACUCGCCCAGGCGAGGCAGGCGAACAAGAGGAACAAGGAAGGAGAGGGCAUCGAAAACAAAGAGGAUGAAUUGGUGAUGUGUUGUUGAUGAGGAUUGAGGAAGACAUGAGAGAAUUAAUACUGCUACUUCUUCUUCUAGUACGACACAUUUAACUUUGGGAAUUCUCUGUAGUGGCCGAAAAAAUUGACUGGAUGCUGUCUACGGCCUCAUCGUCUUGCCGUAUCGGUUCCAAUUCCAACAGAUGUGCAUGGUCUUCUCAGUCAUGUACCAGAACAGGAUCGAAGAUUGGAAGGAAUGGCACCGGAGUGAGAUGGAAUGCGAAAGGACGGUCAUGGUCCACUGCUUUGAUCACUUUAAUUUUAGUUUAAUUCUUGCUCAUCCCUGUUGCCCAGCCGCCACGAUUGGGCAAGAUGACGACCUUAUCAGCCAACCGAUAGAUUCCCUGUCCUACACGCUGAUGAGCGAGAACUGUAUUCUACUAGUACUCGCUUGGAGAUCGGAAGUAUCAGGAUAUACAGUGGAUUUUCCAUACGAACUUGAUCCUAACAGA